AACGAACGCUGGCGGCGUGCUUAACACAUGCAAGUCGAACGCGAAAGGGACUUCGGUCCUGAGUAAAGUGGCGCACGGGUGAGUAACACGUGGAUAAUCUACCCAGUGUUCCGGGAUAACACUUCGAAAGGAGUGCUAAUACCGGAUAAGCCCACGGGAACUUCGGUUCUUGCGGGAAAAGGUGGGGACCUUCGGGCCUACUGUCACUGGACGAGUCCGCGGCCCAUUAGCUAGUUGGUGAGGUAAUGGCUCACCAAGGCAACGAUGGGUAGCUGGUCUGAGAGGAUGAUCAGCCACACUGGAACGGAGACACGGUCCAGACUCCUACGGGAGGCAGCAGUGGGGAAUUUUGCGCAAUGGGCAAAAGCCUGACGCAGCAACGCCGCGUGAGUGAUGAAGGCCCUCGGGUCGUAAAGCUCUGUCAGAGGGGAAGAACCGCCGUACGGAUAAUAACCGUGCGGUCUGACGGUACCCUCAAAGGAAGCACCGGCUAACUACGUGCCAGCCGCCGCCGUAA
rnacentral:rRNA from 1 species